CCUACAAGCCUGUUUUGCAGGUUUCUCUGCUCUGAGAAACCUGUGAAACAGGCUUGUAGGGAUGAAAUAGCCUCUGUGUUUUUUCCUGACCUAACGUGAGAGUAUAUAUAUAUAAAAAAAAAAAAUAUA